GCAAUCAUGCACAAGAGUCGGGUAAAGGAUCCGUGGACGUCGCCCGACGGCCCGAGGAUUUCGAUUGGAGGGGGUGCAGUUUUUCUUCCUGUUGUAGAAAGCAAUCAGGACUUCAUAUGGCCGUUUGAAUGCACGCCAGUGAUGGUCUCCACAACAAAACAACAAUCCAGAAAAACAUAUGUUACAUCACAUUGAAUUUUAACAGAUAAUAAUACUGUGAGAGGGUUGGUCCUGAUAUAAAAUCACAACAAACAUGGUUAAAGCAUUGUCCAAUUCAAGAGAGUGAUCACCAGAAAGAAAGAAAAAAAACUUUAAUUGUUUUAAUUACCUCGAAACAUUACAAUAGUAAACAACAUUGCUAUGGCUGAAAUGUAAUUCAUUUGCAUGCACACACACACGCACCAAACACAGAACACGCACACAUACACACACAGAACACACACACGCACCAAACACAGAACACGCGCACGCACAGAACACACACGUGCACACACACACACACACACCACACACAUAGAACAGAACAUGUGCUCACACACACACACCACACAGAGAACAAACACACACAGAACAGGCUCGCACACACACACACACGACACACAGAA